ensembl:lncRNA
AAAAAACGUCAGCAUGUUGUAACUCUAAAGGCGCCGCACAGCCAACCAGAGCUAUUUCACUCAUCUCUCCACCAAUGAGAGCCUCAGGGCACAGAGCCAAUCGCACCCCGACAGGACAGCUCUGAGCCAAUCAGAGCUUCAAACUCUGAUAGAUCUCAGCUUGUGGUAAUGAAAGCUCAGCUGUUUAGAGGUUUGGAGGCCAGGCCACCAUCACCUGAGGAAUAUUUGGAGGUUUGACUGGAGCAAGAGAGGGAACAGGAGGGAACAGAAAGCAGCAGCAGGCAGGACAGCGUUACAGACGAGAGAUCGGUGAGGUGAGAAGGAAAGGUUAAAGCAGACAGGAACCUAAGACAAAACACAAAAAGUUAGAGAGGGGACCUGAGUGAAGGAACCGGAAAAAAAGGAGGUUGCUCUGAAAAGGAGUGGAAGAAGAAAAAGUAGGUAUUAGCGGAGAUUUCCAAAUCUGCAUCAAAAGGGAUGAAGAACGAGAGGAAGGCGGCGUUGCUGGCCAUCAGAGAAAGUAUCGAGAUGGAGCUGUUCUCCUCAGAGGAGUGCUGCGUGGUGACACCAACACAGGAGUGGAAGGAGGAGGAUUACAGCUUUCACCGGAGACACCUGGAGCAUCCGCUGGUCCCUGACAGUGAGGAGGAACCAGAGCUGCAGUUUCAGACCCAAUCCAGGCGGCAGGUCAAGCCCAAAUCAGAGCCUCCCGCCAAGGAUGAGGCCAAGCACUGCCCCAUGGUCCCUGGAUUCAUGGAGGAAAUUGAGAUAGAGAUGGAGACGUCGCCAGACAAAGUUAGUCAUCUCAGAUGGAGGAGACCAACUUCGCAGAGGACCGGACUGGUGGUCAGAGAUGUGAUAUGUUUACCAACAGGACAUCUGGAACAGCUGGAGAGGCACACUGUUCCACAGGGCAAAGAACAAGCAGCUCUAGCGGCCAUGGGGAUGACCGCUCGCAUCACCAUUGACUGCGGUUGGACGGCCAAUCAGGUACAGAGUCGGCUGGCUUUGCUCUUCUGGGGGCGUUUUGUGAAACGGGCGGGCCAAAGGUUCUCCUUCACAUAUCUACAGUGUUUGCACGGUUCCACGGUGUUGUACGUCCCAGACACCCCUGCAGGAGGCUGGACUGGAGAGCAGGUGGUCAGGAUCUCCGGACAUGGUGCUCUGUAUAUCCUCAGCCACCAGGACUACCCACAGCAGGCAGAAUCUGCGAGAUCAACAAGCAAGACACCUGAGGUGAACAGGAAGGAGUUCUGUCCGGAGGCCAGGACAGAGAGCUGCACGGACAAAGAUGAUCAGCUGGGAGGACAGCUGCACGAGUGACUUGAAACUUAGGAUGUUAAUGUUGCUGAACUAAGCCACGCACCAUCCUUCACGUUUUCAGACAGAAGGAGAUGGCGAGGACAGCCGCCCACCAGCGAGGACAGGUUUAUAAACCGGAAGCGCUCCUGUUUGUCGGUUCAGUUAAAGCCUAAACUCUGCUGUUUUAUUGUUUGAAGCUUUGUUCUCCGUCAGGUGUGAAAUAUCAGUGUAAAUCUAGAAAUGCCACGGGAACAAUAAUGUCUUUAAGAAGAGCAGAAGAAAGAGAAGAGAGUUUUAGCCUUUGUAAAAUAAGAAUGGUAGUGACGACUGUACUUUCAGGCAACCCUCAUGAAUUCUUAACACUGUCGUCCAUGUUUUAUCUUAUCCUUUUAACAGUUAUUCCAAAACACCAUUGACGCAGGUUCCAAAGUCAUGAACCUUCAACAUUUACAGACUGCAUCUUUUUAACGUCUCACAGAAUGUCUUGCAUCGUGUCUCUGCUGAUGUUUAUAAUUUCAAAUAUUGAAGAAAAAUUGAACACAACUGAUGGCAAAUUUUCACUUGAUAUUAUCGUGUUUUGUCUUUUUAACAUAAUCUUGUAAGGUGGAUCUCAACAAAUAAUAUAUAAUAUAUGCUCUCAAAUCAAAUGUUGAAUAAAGUUUAUUUUCAGAGGAUCUAUUAAACAAGACAAGAAUGGCACCUCAAAUACACGUCUCUUUAUUCAUCCUUCAGAAGGGCAUAAUACAACAUGGAACAAUGCAACUGUGCAUAUUAUGUCAUACAUCUAGUCUUAAAUUGAUAAAAAAUUUUAUGUAGACAAAUCAUUUUCUUAAAAGUAAUACAUCUACAGAGCUUGUAGAAAGGUGCAAAAUAAAAUUCUCUUUUCCUUAAAACAUGAUUGUAAAUUAAUAAUUUUAAAAUGUUUGUCGGUCCAAAAUGAUUGUUUCAUUCUGACAGGUGGUUCCAGCUGUGAUAAACUCCAAGUUUAUCAGCCAAUAUAUUAAUGACAUUGGAAUCAUUAUUGGUGUCUGUGUUUUCUUUAGCAUCAAGAGUCCACCUUGACACCCAGCAAACUUGAAUGAGGAUAAAAUAGCGCAUCACGUGACCAUGUAAUUACACGGUUUGGCCACUAUGAAAACUGACUUCAGAGUCCAGCGCUCCUUCUUGGGGCUUGAAGCUAACAAGCAAAUGGCAACAUCAGUUAGCAGUUACUCAGGAAAUAUGCAUAUUUUUUUAGAAUAUAAAUUCAACAAGUGGCCAGUUCUUGCAUAUUGUGCCUUUUAAGGGAAAAGUCCGAUUGGAGAUACAGACAGAAUUUCACCUAAUAAUCAUUUUCAAAAAUAAUGAAAUCUAAACAUCUAAAAAACAACAAAAAAAAAUUUUAUGCAAAAAUAACCAUUUGAAAACAAUUUUCUAAUCAGUGAUAGAAGAAAAAACAUCAAUCAGCAGGUAUACAAAUAAAUAAUUUAAAAAAUCAUUGCUGCAUUGCCUUUUUUUUUCUCACUUAGUAUUGCUGCAUUCCCUUGCAGUAACAUAAUAGCCAUACUGGUCCAAGUUCAGGAUCAACAAACGUUUAUCCUGCUUUAAUAUGUCACAAUCUAUAUACAUUUCAGUACUUUCCACUAGUUAGCUCAUGACCAGGAAAAGCAGGUUUGACCACACUGAAACAGAGAGCAAAACCAAACUUAACCAUGGACAAUCAUGAGUCUCAAGAGGAUUGAAUGGAGACACAUCCAGGAGACACAGCUGUAACGUAUAGGAAAAAAUACUUAAUUCACUUCCCGGAUUACAUAUAUAUAUACCCUAUGCAAAUGGUAUGAGGCAAAGUCAUCGUUGCCAAAUCAGUAAACUGUCUUGCAACUAUUACACAACAGCAUGGUAGUUUCCUGGUUGCCAAGCUUCUCAGUGAAGCAGCUCCAGUUACAAAGUAUUUGGAUUACUGACACUUCUUAAGAAACCUCUUUGAUGCAUCAGAUUGCUUGGUUUGAGCCUUUCUUCGCUACUGAACACUUGAGAUAAAUGGCAUUUCCAUUCACAUGGGAAACACAGCCAGCAGUGUAAUGAUGAAAAUAUUGUUUGGGGACUAUAGAGAGCGAAAAUGGAUCUUAAUGUUGACUUUUUCUGACUCUCUCUUUGUUUUGUUUUUGAGAUUUAAUAGAACAAAAUGAUGAUAAAGAUGCACAGGGGAGACAGUCUAAAAUCUUAGCCUCUGCAGUGUAGUUGAGAUGAAGAUGACAUUUUAUUAAUACAGUCAGCACCCCCUUGAAUUGCUUUCUUCAUACAUUCAAUUUUACUUGCAGUUGCAUGACGCUUCUAUGGGACGACUCUAACCCUUUGAAUGUUUGUCACACUGACUGUGGUGUGGUUGGUUCCAUUCAAGAGCUGCCCCCUCACAAACUGAAACAAAAGAAAACAGACAAUAAACAACACAAGAUUUAUCUCAUUCCCCUCACUGCACUCUCUAAAUUAAUACAGAUUAUCAUUCAUAAUAUUGGCGGGAGAGCCAUACCUGUUCAACAAGAUGAGUAAUGGUUCCAUUGCUGAUAACACCGAUUGAAGUUAACUUCACCUGAAGAAUUGCCACUGCCUCCAAACCUGUAGAGAUGAAAAAAAAAACAUGUUAAAAUUAACAAAACAAUUAAAAGAGAUAUUGGACUUUUUAAUUGCUACAUGUCAUUAAACACAUGAUUAUUGUUGGUUUAAAGCUGCAUCAUGCGAAUCACAGAUAAUUUAUCUUGAUUAAUUGUAUUUGCAAGACAUGGGGUCAAUGAAUUCUAAGAAAAAAAUUACUUACACAAACUGUAUAAAUU